GUAAAGUUGUUCUAGUUUUGUAACUAAAAUGGUUUGGCAGUGAGCGAUUCUUAUUAGGGGAAUAUGCAUAGUGAAGGAUGGUCCACCUAUUAGUUUACUCUUUUUAUGUUGGUGUAUGUCUGGUUUGAUAUUAUUGUUGAAUAAUUUAAGUUUGUGUAGUUUUAGUUAAGCUAAGUCUAUGUGCUGCUUAUUGGAGUUUUUGUGUGUUACAUUAAUAAGGGUGUUAUUGUAAGAUGAUGUGAUUUAGGAC
rnacentral:rRNA from 1 species